GGGUGAGUAACGCGUGAGGAACCUGCCUCAAAGAGGGGGACAACAGUUGGAAACGACUGCUAAUACCGCAUAAGCCCACGGCUCGGCAUCGAGCAGAGGGAAAAGGAGCAAUCCGCUUUGAGAUGGCCUCGCGUCCGAUUAGCUAGUUGGUGAGGUAAUGGCCCACCAAGGCGACGAUCGGUAGCCGGACUGAGAGGUUGAACGGCCACAUUGGGACUGAGACACGGCCCAGACUCCUACGGGAGGCAGCAGUGGGGAAUAUUGCACAAUGGGGGAAACCCUGAUGCAGCGACGCCGCGUGGAGGAAGAAGGUCUUCGGAUUGUAAACUCCUGUUGUUGAGGAAGAUAAUGACGGUACUCAACAAGGAAGUGACGGCUAACUACGUGCCAGCAGCCGCGGUAAAACGUAGGUCACAAGCGUUGUCCGGAAUUACUGGGUGUAAAGGGAGCGCAGGCGGGAGAACAAGUUGGAAGUGAAAUCCAUGGGCUCAACCCAUGAACUGCUUUCAAAACUGUUUUUCUUGAGUAGUGCAGAGGUAGGCGGAAUUCCCGGUGUAGCGGUGGAAUGCGUAGAUAUCGGGAGGAACACCAGUGGCGAAGGCGGCCUACUGGGCACCAACUGACGCUGAGGCUCGAAAGUGUGGGUAGCAAACAGGAUUAGAUACCCUGGUAGUCCACACCGUAAACGAUGAUUACUAGGUGUUGGAGGAUUGACCCCUUCAGUGCCGCAGUUAACACAAUAAGUAAUCCACCUGGGGAGUA
rnacentral:rRNA from 1 species